rnacentral:rRNA from 1 species
AUUGAACGCUGGCGGCAUGCUUUACACAUGCAAGUCGAACGGUAACAGGCCGCAAGGUGCUGACGAGUGGCGAACGGGUGAGUAAUGUAUCGGAACGUGCCCAGUCGUGGGGGAUAACGCAGCGAAAGCUGUGCUAAUACCGCAUACGAUCUAUGGAUGAAAGCGGGGGACCGUAAGGCCUCGCGCGAUUGGAGCGGCCGAUAUCAGAUUAGGUAGUUGGUGGGGUAAAGGCUCACCAAGCCGACGAUCUGUAGCUGGUCUGAGAGGACGACCAGCCACACUGGGACUGAGACACGGCCCAGACUCCUACGGGAGGCAGCAGUGGGGAAUUUUGGACAAUGGGCGCAAGCCUGAUCCAGCAAUGCCGCGUGCAGGACGAAGGCCUUCGGGUUGUAAACUGCUUUUGUACGGAGCUAAACGGCUCUCUCUAAUAAAGGGAGCUAAUGACGGUACCGUAAGAAUAAGCACCGGCUAACUACGUGCCAGCCGCCGCCGUAA